rnacentral:rRNA from 1 species
AUGCCGCGGCUGACGCCGUCGGACGCGUCCCUCAUCCUCGACCACGUCGUAGGCGACGCGUCCAUCCCCACCGCCGCCGCCAACGUGCUCCUCGCGGGCCUCCCCUUCCCCGACCGCCCCACGCCGCGCCUCCUCCGCUCGCUGCUCCUCCGCCGCCUCGCCGCCGACCCCGUCUCCGCUGCCGCGCUCGACUCCCUCCAGUUCCUCGCCUCCCUUCCCGACCCGGACCCCGCGUCCCCCGUCUCCGCCGCGCACCUCGCCGUCGCCGCCUUCCUCGCCUGCUCGGCGCCCGACUUCGACGCCGCCGCGCGGGCCCUCUUCGCGCGCCCCGGCGGCCGCGCGCGCCGCGCGGUCGACGAGGAGGAGGGCGGGGACCCCCCGCUCGCCUCUUCCGAGGCCCUCGUCGUCGCGGACCAGUUCGAGGCCGCCGUCGGGAACGCCUUCUCGCAGGACGUGCUGAAGGGGCUAUUUGGCGACCGGGCCAAGGCGGAGCGGCGGGUGAGGGACCUCCUGGCGGCCGAGUGGGCCGCGGUCGGCCCGUCUCGCCUGGAGCUAGCGGCAGAGCAGAUCGUUGGCGAUGGCGCCGUCGAGACGUGGCGCGCCGCUGACGAGACCGUCCGCGCCAAAUACCGCAUACUAGCUGGGGAAGAAAAAACACGUGAAAUUUUGAGCAAAAUUGAAGACCGAAUUUCAACCCCGCAAGUUCAUAAGGUCAUACAUGACCUCAAAUCAAGCUGUGCUGACCUUCAUAAUGUGGUGGAUGAUCCAUUACCAGCCGCAAAAGCAGCUGCAGAUAAGGUGUUGGCUGCAAGGAUGGAUAAGGCAGUUCAUAUUAAUGAUGAAUUUAACAAUCAUGGUGCGAAUUGUAGCGUUGCUGGUCCAAGUGCUGUUAAUGACCAAGGCGAGACAUUGAGAAAAGGCACGCCAUCAAGUCUUAUGGAUUGGAACCCUACAGCACAAUCUCUUCUGUGGGAGGAUUCUCUUGAUCCUGAUGGUUCAAGAUCACAAUCACAUAGACCACACUUGCCUAGCCCAAGGAGAAUAUCGGUUUCUCCGUUGCAAGUGGCAGAAAACAAAGCUAGGCGUAGAAGGGCAAGGAGGUGGAGCUCGGUAGAAGAAGAAACAUUAAGGAAGGGCGUUGAACAAUUUGGUAGCAGCAAUUGGAAGGAUAUUUUGAUCCACAAUUCCGAUGCUUUUAUUGGUAGAACAACGGUGGACUUGAAGGAUAAGUGGAGGAACAUGACGAGAUAG